rnacentral:rRNA from 1 species
UACAGAGGUCCCAAGCGUUGUUCGGAUUCACUGGGCGUAAAGGGUGCGUAGGCGGCUUUGCAAGUCUGAUGUGAAAUCUCCAGGCCCAACCUGGAAACUGCAUUAGAAACUGUGAGGCUGGAGGCUUGGAGGGGGAACUGGAAUGCUCGGUGUAGCAGUGAAAUGCGUAGAGAUCGAGCGGAACACCAGUGGCGAAGGCGAGUUCCUGGACAAGACCUGACGCUGAGGCACGAAAGCCAGGGGAGCAAACAGG